rnacentral:rRNA from 1 species
UACGGGGGGAGCGAGCGUUGUUCGGAAUCACUGGGCGUAAAGGGCGCGUAGGCGGUUGGGUAAGUCAGAGGUGAAAUCCCAGGGCUUAACCUUGGAAUUGCCUUUGAUACUGCCUGGCUAGAGGGUGGAAGAGGAUAGUGGAAUUCCUGGUGUAGCGGUGAAAUGCGUAGAUAUCAGGAAGAACACCGGUGGCGAAGGCGGCUAUCUGGUCCACUACUGACGCUGAGGCGCGAAAGCCAGGGGAG